UGCGUAGGCGGCUUGAUAAGUCAGGGGUGAAAGGCUACAGCUCAACUGUAGAAUUGCCUUUGAUACUGUCGAGCUUGAAUCAGGUUGAGGUUGGCGGAAUGUGGCAUGUAGCGGUGAAAUGCAUAGAUAUGCCAUAGAACACCAAUUGCGAAGGCAGCUGACUGGACCUGCAUUGACGCUGAGGCACGAAAGCGUGGGGAGCGAACAGGAUUAGAUACCCUGGUAGUCC
rnacentral:rRNA from 1 species